AAAGUUGAGGAGGAACCAAGUGAAAUUUCAACAAGAAAAUGAGAAAUAUCGGACGAACAAACAUAAAUACUUGAAGGAAGUCAAACAUCAAUGGAUAAUGAACCACUCAUCAAACGACUUGGUAGAAUUUCAAACAAAAUGUUGCCGCUCAAAGUACCAGAAAUACAACCAAAGGUUGCCACUCCAACAAAGGAUGUAAUUGCUCGGAUACGAAGAUGCUGAAGAAGCCAAUUUCUACAGAAAGUCUACAAAGUUCUAUUGAAAAUUUAGUGGACAAUAUGCCACUGGAAAAUCUAGAAAAAUCUAUUGAAAAUUUAGUGGACCAUAUUUCUGCUUUGGUUGUUCAAAGCACAGACCUAGAAGGAUCCAUUUUUAAAAAGGAAAACAAACUGAGUUUGAAAAGAAAAAAUGAAGACCAGGAUAGCAAACAUAAAGACAAAAGGAGCGAGCAAACCCCAUUAUUUCCCCUGUUUCUGAUAAGGAUAAAAGCAAGAUGAAGUCAACAAUUGCCUCCACAUCCAAAACGCAGUUAACACGUGAAGUUAGCAAAAUUAAGAUGAGAUCAACUGGCACGUAACUGAAGAAGAAUGUGAAUAAGACCAAACUAUUUUUGCAAAUGGAGGAACGCCAGCAAGAUGUUGUGCUUAAGUUCUUCAAAAAAGCAACAACAACGUCAAUUGCUUUUAAAGUAACGUCAAUGUUUGACGGUGAGGAUGAGUUCAGAGUUUGUAUAUCAGGGAAAUGUAUCGAGGACCUCAUGUUUAAUGCAUUUUUGGACGCCAGUAUCCUUAUAUACAAAGUUUAUAAGCUCAAGAAAGCAUUUGAGAAAGAUAUAAUCAAUAAGUACAUCAAAGUACUAUACCUAGAUGCAAAGUCUUUGGAGAGUCAUUACUACAUUUAAUAUUUGUUGGGAAAAAACAUUAGACAAAAUAUCUGCAGGAUAACACAGUUGCAAUGAUAUCUGCACAGUAAAAAAAUAUAUCUUCUGGUAGUAUGUUUAAGUUAAUAUCAGGUCAUUUUACUAAGUCAAUUCUACACAGUUGAAAAUGAGUGAAUAAUGAAUUCCUAUAGUACUUGUUACUAAUUCUUUUCAGUUUUUUGUCAAACACAAAGAUACUAUAUGCAAACAUCAUUGAAACACGGAGUUACAUUACCAAUAUCAAAAUAUGAAUUAUGUUGUGAAGAAGAUUAUGAUACCAUUGUACCAUGAAGAGUUGGAUUGCACACAACAUUGGGCUUUGCUGGAGUACUUUGUCCAGGAAAAAUAUUUCUUGCACUAUAAUUCGUGGUCUCACCAAUCAAGAGAACGCUGCUAUACAAAUGCCAAAGAAGUGGCAAAUGAAUGCUUGGGAGCAAUUAGCAAGUUCAUGGAGAAUGAGGGCCUAAAGAAGGUUUCUAAAGCUAUGGUCGAUGAAGCUCCAGUACCACAACAAGGGCAAUCUAAUGAUUGUUUACUGUAUGUUUGUUAUUUUAUGAAAAGACAAUCACUAAAUGAAAAUCAUGAUGGAUUUCAAAGUAGCAUGGAAGAUGCAGAUAUGCUGAAAGAGAAGAUUCAUUGGAAGAGGGCGACAAUAAUUUUCAAGUUACUCACUGCAACCACACCUGCAUAAAGUUGGAAGGAAGACAAUUCCAUAGAAUAACUGCAACAACAAAAAAUAUCUUUCAACUUACUCAGUUAUGUUUGGAUUAUUUGUAUACAUACAUUAAUUAG